rnacentral:rRNA from 1 species
AAUCAACGCUGGCGGCGUGCCUAACACAUGCAAGUCGAACGAGAAAGUGGAGCAAUCCAUGAGUACAGUGGCGUACGGGUGAGUAACACGUGACUAACCUACCCUCGAGUGGGGAAUAACCUCGGGAAACCGGGGCUAAUACCGCAUAACAUCUUCGGAUCAAAUGCGUAAGCAGCUUGAGGAGGGGGUCGCGGCCGAUUAGCUAGUUGGCGGGGUAAUGGCCCACCAAGGCAAUGAUCGGUAGCCGGCCUGAGAGGGCGCACGGCCACACUGGAAC